GACGAACGCUGGCGGCGUGCUUAACACAUGCAAGUCGAACGAAGAGCGAUGGAAGCUUGCUUCUAUCAAUCUUAGUGGCGAACGGGUGAGUAACGCGUAAUCAACCUGCCCUUCAGAGGGGGACAACAGUUGGAAACGACUGCUAAUACCGCAUACGAUCUAAUCUCGGCAUCGAGGAUAGAUGAAAGGUGGCCUCUACAUGUAAGCUAUCACUGAAGGAGGGGAUUGCGUCUGAUUAGCUAGUUGGAGGGGUAACGGCCCACCAAGGCGAUGAUCAGUAGCCGGUCUGAGAGGAUGAACGGCCACAUUGGGACUGAGACACGGCCCAGACUCCUACGGGAGGCAGCAGUGGGGAAUCUUCCGCAAUGGACGAAAGUCUGACGGAGCAACGCCGCGUGAGUGAUGACGGCCUUCGGGUUGUAAAGCUCUGUUAAUCGGGACGAAAGGCCUUCUUGCGAAUAGUUAGAAGGAUUGACGGUACCG
rnacentral:rRNA from 1 species